rnacentral:rRNA from 1 species
CUACGGGAUGCAGCAGUGGGGAAUAUUGGGCAAUGGGCGCAAUCCUGACCCAGCAACGCCGCGUGAGGGAAGAAGGUUUUCGGAUUGUAAACCUCUGUCCUUGGGGACGAAGAAGUGACGGUACCCAAGGAGGAAGCUCCGGCUAACUACGUGCCAGCAGCCGCGGUAAUACGUAGGGAGCAAGCGUUGUCCGGAAUUACUGGGCGUAAAGGGUGCGUAGGCGGCAUAUUAAGUCAGGUGUGAAAUACUCGGGCUCAACCCGGGGGCUGCAUUUGAAACUGAUAUGCUUGAGUGUGAGAGAGGAAAGUGGAAUUCCUAGUGUAGCGGUGGAAUGCGUAGAUAUUAGGAGGAACACCAGUGGCGAAGGCGACUCUCUGGCUCAUAACUGACGCUGAGGCACGAAAGCGUGGGGAGCAAACAGGAUCAGAUACCCCAGUAGUC